rnacentral:lncRNA from 1 species
CUGGAGCCUUCUCUUCUCCAUGCUGAACAAAUCCAGCUCUCAAACUGUUUUUGCAAGAGAGAUGUUCCAGCCCUUUGGUCAUCUUCUGGCCCUCCUCUAGACUAGAUCUAACAGGUCCACAUCCUCCUUGUGUUGUGGCCUACAGACUUAGAUGCAGUACUUCAGGUGAAAAAUAAAACAUACUUUUUUUAAAAAAAAAAUAAAAAAUUAUGGUUUCUGAAAAGAUUUUAAGACUUUAGAGUAACAAAUUUUACUCUACCAGUCUGAUACUGGAUUAGUACUCUGCAGUAAUUUAUUUCUACAAACCUUCAUGACACCAAAACACAUAAACUCCCACUGUCACUGGUGAGAAAUGAAACUGCUCAGAUCCACACUGAAAUUCUCAAGAGGUUGAUCCAAUUUCAAGUAUGUAAAGAGUAAAAAGCAUUGAGAGUCUGUUGUUUACCACAUGAGGCUUCCUAAAUCGAAAGUGUGAUGACUUUUUAGGUCAUCUAAUUUGCUUAUGUAUGUUGUAACUUGAUGAUCAUUUUGUGUGUCCAUAAAUCUCUUUCAGACUUUCUAUUUUCUCAGGUGAAUUUCCCUUCCUUUGCUGUGAAAAUACCAUGGCUCUGGCUCAUUAUAAUGAGCCAAGCAGCUUUCCUGAGCAGCAUACUUUAUUUUGUACAGUUUAUUUCCCUGGUGCUGUCCAUACUUCUGGAGGAUGUUUUCUUCAACACCUGAAUUGUCUUCUUGACUCCAUGUCUAAAAGGACUCUGGUUCUAUGUCAUCUUGGGAACCUCUGCAUUGGAAAAUGCCCUGGUUUUUUGAAGUUUCUUCCUCUAUUUCCAUUCCCAAGUGGGCUUACAGAAAGUAUAAGAUGUGGCUAAUGAAAAAUAUUGUGUAAUUGAUGCUGGAAACUAUCUCAGAAAUACAUAAAGAAAAAGCGAGAGACAAGAAACAGUUUCUUAUACGUACAUUUUCUUAUAUUGCGAGAUUUUAUCAUGUGAUUUGCUGCUUGGUAAUGCUGUGGCAGUACAUGUUUAGCUGACCAGUUAUUAGUUAAUACCAUUGUGUUUUAAUGUAGUUAUUUGUAUGAAAAUAAAAAUAAUUCUUUCCUAAAUUAAAACA